rnacentral:rRNA from 1 species
GACGAACGCUGGCGGCGUGCUUAACACAUGCAAGUCGAACGGAAAGGCCCUGCUUUUGUGGGGUGCUCGAGUGGCGAACGGGUGAGUAACACGUGAGUAACCUGCCCUUGACUUUGGGAUAACUUCAGGAAACUGGGGCUAAUACCGGAUAGGAGCUCCUGCUGCAUGGUGGGGGUUGGAAAGUUUCGGCGGUUGGGGAUGGACUCGCGGCUUAUCAGCUUGUUGGUGGGGUAGUGGCUUACCAAGGCUUUGACGGGUAGCCGGCCUGAGAGGGUGACCGGCCACAUUGGGACUGAGAUACGGCCCAGACUCCUACGGGAGGCAGCAGUGGGGAAUAUUGCACAAUGGGCGGAAGCCUGAUGCAGCAACGCCGCGUGCGGGAUGACGGCCUUCGGGUUGUAAACCGCUUUCGCCUGUGACGAAGCGUGAGUGACGGUAAUGGGUAAAGAAGCACCGGCUAACUACGUGCCAGCAGCCGCGGUGAUACGUAGGGUGCGAGCGUUGUCCGGAUUUAUUGGGCGUAAAGGGCUCGUAGGUGGUUGAUCGCGUCGGAAGUGUAAUCUUGGGGCUUAACCCUGAGCGUGCUUUCGAUACGGGUUGACUUGAGGAAGGUAGGGGAGAAUGGAAUUCCUGGUGGAGCGGUGGAAUGCGCAGAUAUCAGGAGGAACACCAGUGGCGAAGGCGGUUCUCUGGGCCUUUCCUGACGCUGAGGAGCGAAAGCGUGGGGAGCGAACAGGCUUAGAUACCCUGGUAGUCCACGCUGUAAACGGUGGGUACUAGGUGUGGGGUCCAUUCCACGGGUUCCGUGCCGUAGCUAACGCUUUAAGUACCCCGCCUGGGGAGUACGGCCGCAAGGCUAAAACUCAAAGGAAUUGGCGGGGCCCCGCACAAGCGGCGGAGCAUGCGGAUUAAUUCGAUGCAACGCGUAGAACCUUACCUGGGUUUGACAUGGAUCGGGAGUGCUCAGAGAUGGGUGUGCCUCUUUUGGGGUCGGUUCACAGGUGGUGCAUGGCUGUCGUCAGCUCGUGUCGUGAGAUGUUGGGUUAAGUCCCGCAACGAGCGCAACCCUUGUUCACUGUUGCCAGCACGUUAUGGUGGGGACUCAGUGGAGACCGCCGGGGUCACCUCGGAGGAAGGUGGGGAUGACGUCAAGUCAUCAUGCCCCUUAUGUCCAGGGCUUCACGCAUGCUACAAUGGCUGGUACAGAGAGUGGCGAGCCUGUGAGGGUGAGCGAAUCUCGGAAAGCCGGUCUCAGUUCGGAUUGGGGUCUGCAACUCGACCUCAUGAAGUCGGAGUCGCUAGUAAUCGCAGAUCAGCAACGCUGCGGUGAAUACGUUCCCGGG